AAGCUCGUAGUUGAAUUUCGGGGUUAGUAGGUUGGUCAUGCCUCCGGUAUGUACUGAUCUCACUGAUUCCUCCUUCCUGAUGAACCGUAAUGCCAUUAAUUUGGUGUUGCGGGGAAUUUGGACUGUUACUUUGAAAAAAUUAGAGUGUUUAAAGCAAGCUAACGCUUGAAUACAUUAGCAUGGAAUAAUGAAAUAGGACGUUCGAUCCUAUUUUGUUGGUUUCUAGGAUUGACGUAAUGAUUAAUAGGGAUAGUUGGGGGCAUUAGUAUUCAAUUGUCAGAGGUGAAAUUCUUGGAUUUAUUGAAGACUAACUACUGCGNAAGCAUUUGCCAAGGAUGNUUUCAUUAAUCAAGAACGAAAGUUAGGGGAUCGAAGACGAUCAGAUACCGUCGUAGUCUUAACCAUAAACUAUGCCGACUAGGGAUCGGAUGAUGUUAAUUUUUUAAUGACUCAUUCGGCGCCUUACGGGAAACCAAAGUGUUUGGGUUCCGGGGGGAGUAUGGUCGCAAGGCUGAAACUUAAAGGAAUUGACGGAAGGGCACCACCAGGGGUGGAGCCUGCGGCUUAAUUUGACUCAACACGGGGAAACUCACCAGGUCCAGACAUAGUAAGGAUUGACAGAUUGAGAGCUCUUUCUUGAUUCUAUGGGUG
rnacentral:rRNA from 1 species